rnacentral:tRNA from 1 species
GCGCCCGUGGUCUAGUGGUAGGACGCUGGCCCCCCAAGCCAGCGACCCGGGUUCGAAGCGCAACGAAACUCCCGGCGGGCGCA